UAUCUUUUUCCCCCCUGCAGUUCUAGAAUGAUGGUGGUACUACACACUUAACUCAGAAGGCAGUCUUUGGAGAAGUUAGACAUUUGUGAGGAGCAACAUAGAAAGAUAAUCCUAGAAAACACUGCCUAACCUGGAACAAAAAGAACAAAACGUCACACAGCAAAUGUGAUUUCAAGAAUGUGAUUUCAAGAAAUGAACAUAUUUGGAUUGUGUGUACUCAGACACACAACUGCAAGUGGAUGAUUUCUGAUGGCAUUGCGAAGGAAGUUUUGAUAGGAUGUGAUACUGCAACAAGCUUGGAGAUUGGUCCAGGCAGAAUGACGUAGCUGAAAAGAAGAAAAGAAGCUUUAAAGGGAUUGGAAUAAUGAAAUGGUGCAGAGAGAAAGGAAUAAAGGAGAACAAAUAUAGAUGGGAUGGAGGCUGUGCUACGCUGAAGCAAGGUCAAAAGGAGAAGCAAGAGGAUUUGAGUGGAGAAGUCACACUGGGAGUGAAAGAAUGGAUUUUUGCAGUGGUAUUUGGGGAAGUUUGCAUUUCCUAUCUCAUUCCAUUCCAAAGUCCAGAGAUGAGAGAGAUUCAGAACUCUUUAAGCUGACAGAAAAUUAGAAGAAAUAGAGAAUAUAUAGCUGUAUCUUUUAAUCACAAUCCUGUCCUUUGUAGGGCAAGCUAAACCUAGCAAUCCUACAGAAAACUUUUGUUUGUACUCAUCAGCACAGCAAACAUAGCUGGUGACCUCCUUUUCCCCCGUGCCUGUGAAAUCCAACUUUGAAAACUGCAUACCAUUGGACUUUGAUGUCAUGUGACCUUGCAUUCAGACUACAUUUUGGUGGGCUUAAACAUGGGAAUGCCACAAAAGCUGCUGUCAUCACAGAAUGUUACUGUGCAGUGGAAAGUUGUGAGGAGAAGACAGGAGACUGGUGGAGGUGGCAAGAAGACCUUCACAGCUGUUAUCUCCUUAGGGCCUGAGGCUGGAGGCAGAUUAGACUUUUGCUAGAAAGAGGAGAACACCAGAUCAGGUAGAAGAGCAUAAGCGAGGUGGCCAUGGCUUGUGAAGAGGAGACAGCGAUGAGCAAUUAGAAGAGGUUGGUCUGGAAAAAUCUCAUAUGUGGAACAGUUUCUAUUUGGGCUUUUAGACCACUGAACAGUGUCCAAGUAACUUCACAUUUGAAUCACUGAAAAUGAUCAGAGGGCUGGAACACCUUUCCUUUGAGUAAAGGCUGAGAGCAUUGGGAUUGGUCAGCCUGGAGAAGGCUGACCUAAUUUCAGAUAUGCAAGGGUGACCUUAUUGCAGCUUUUCAGUACCUGAACAGUGCCUCAAGAAAGCUGGAGAGGAAGUGUUUACGAGGGCAUGUAGUGAUAGGACAAGGGGGAACGGGU